UGGGGUUGGUGUAUGUAACUAUACCCAGGUGUCAGGGACCACCCUGCUACGUCUCCCGUGCGUGCACCGCCCACAAGGAGCUCCUCGCCGUCAUACUAACCACACACCUGACUCUCAUCUGCACGCUAAUCAUGCCGCCUAUAUGAACACUCACGGCGCACACACUCGCUGUCCUUUAUUGCUCAUGGUCCGACGUGGAUGUAUGCCGGUGGUGGUCCUGCUUGCUCUUUUGGGACGUGCGUGCGCGCGUGCGCGCGCUUACCGUGUGCUCGCUCAGGUUCAUCCCCGCUACUUACCGUCUCUCUCUCGCUCUCUUCACGCAGCCCGCGCCUCUUUCCAAGCGCGCCUAGGACUGUACCUUCCCGUCUCGGGUUCCUACCCGGCCAAAGUGGGCCGCGUCUCUUUCCGGACGCACCUGGGAUUUACGGAUCCUGGGUUCCACAUGUGGGGGCUGUAGUCUAGUGACCUGGUGUAAAGGGUAAUGCUGUACUUCUACGGUGUGUAUUCAGCUGCGGUGGAGACACACCAUAAAUGGACACAAUGAAGUUGAAGAUACAAUGGAAAAGGAAACACAAGCACCUUAGUCAGAGCCCUGUUUCCUGUUCCACCGUGUCUCUAGCAUUAUUUUAGCACAACCUUUGUUUUGUGUGUGUUGGCCAUUUUAUUUAAGCAACUCUUUUUGUCCUUGAAGAUUUGUGAUGUUUUGUAUUUAGUCUUUUUGCUUUUUGUAUAUUUUUUGUAUUCAUUUGUUCAUUAGGGACUUUGGACUGUAAAUAAAGACUCAUGGAGGCUUUCA